rnacentral:rRNA from 1 species
UACGAAGGGGGCUAGCGUUGCCCGGAAUCACUGGGCGUAAAGCGCACGUAGGCGGAUUGCUAAGUCAGGGGUGAAAUCCUGGAGCUCAACUCCAGAACUGCCUUUGAUACUGGCGACCUUGAGUCCGGGAGAGGUGAGUGGAACUGCGAGUGUAGAGGUGAAAUUCGUAGAUAUUCGCAAGAACACCAGUGGCGAAGGCGGCUCCCUGGCCCGGUACUGACGCUGAGGUGCGAAAGCGUGGGGAGCAAACAGG